UUGUGUGUUUGUUGUCCGAGGCAAAUAAGAAGGCGAUAUCAAUCUGCUUUUAGGACAAAACACAGCCAGAGGUUAUCGUCUCAACGGUAUUAUUCAUCAUACAAUCUUCGUCACAACUCCUGCGAACAGACGUUUAUAUAGCAUACGGCCCAGCCUCGGCCAAACAUCGUCUCCAAUCUACCUUUUGCCAGAUCAACAUCUCUAUUUUAUUUUUAAAACAAUUAAUAAACACAAAUUUAUACAACUAAAAAAUUCUCAAAGAUAUAUUCGAGUGUUUUAAUCCGCAUGUAAUGGAAGCAACUUCAAGUAGUCAAGUGAGUUAUUCUUCAGUUGGUCAACAUGAAUUGUGUACCAUGUGACGUCAUCACACGCGUUCUCGAAGACAAACCCAACCGCCAUCUAGUGGUCAUCGUAGUAGGGUUUUGAGGCAGUGCUCGCCACCUCCCGGGACUUUACGAAUCGCAUAGCGUACGGUUUCUAGCGUUUAAUACGCUAGAUGGCGCUACGUUUUUAUUUUUUAAACAAAAUAAAUCAAUUUUUGCUACACAUAGCAUUUUAUCUGUGAUAUGUACGAUUUUAGAGUGUAGCUAAAUAAUUAAGUAAAUAAUUAUUAUAAAUUUAAGGUUUAAGUGUGUAUAUUAAACGAUAAUGUGGAACCUAAAUAAAUUAAAAUUUAAACAAAUGUGUAAAAAUCCCGAUAUGUUAUGUACGUUUAUUCCUAUACUGUUUAUAUAUUAUUUUAUCGAUUAUUAGGAUUGUUAUUUAUGUGAUAUGGUGACAAAAAGAUCUAGUCAAUUAUAUAAAGAAACAAGCAUUUUAAAUUAGAAAAGAUAAUUAUUAUAAAAUAAAUGCGUUUUGUUCCGAUUUGAUUAUAGUUGUUAAAUUGACACUAUUUCAUUAUUAUUCUUAAUAAAAAUCAUAAAUAAUCUCAAAUAAAUGUAGAUAUAUAUAAUUAACCCUAAAAGAAGUACCCCUAAUGUUUAAAUAAGCUAAAGAAAAUGAAUGAAUGAUAAUAAUGGAAUAGUGUGAAACUUGAUCGAAAUUUAUAAAUAAACAAAAACCUUCAUUAGCUGUUUAUACGGUCUGAAAAUUUCGUAAUGAGAGUAUGUACAAUCAAUAAAUAAAUGUGUUACUACUACUAACGGAAUAUAUUUAAACUGAAA